rnacentral:rRNA from 1 species
CAGCAGCCCGGUAAUACGUAGGGUGCAAGCGUUAAUCGGAAUUACUGGGCGUAAAGCGUGCGCAGGCGGUUAUAUAAGACAGAUGUGAAAUCCCCGGGCUCAACCUGGGAACUGCAUUUGUGACUGUAUAGCUAGAGUACGGCAGAGGGGGAUGGAAUUCCGCGUGUAGCAGUGAAAUGCGUAGAUAUGCGGAGGAACACCGAUGGCGAAGGCAAUCCCCUGGGCCUGUACUGACGCUCAUGCACGAAAGCGUGGGGAGCAAACAGGAUUAGAUACCCCCGUAGUCCCUGUCUCUUAUACA